rnacentral:rRNA from 1 species
GACGUAGGAGGCGAGCGUUAUUCGGAUUUACUGGGCGUAAAGCGCGUGCAGGCGGUUUGGUAAGUUGGAUGUAAAAGCUCCUGGCUUAACUGGGAGAAGUUGUUCAAUACUGCCAGACUUGAGAUCGGUAGAGGAAGGUGGAAUUCCGGGUGUAGUGGUGAAAUGCGUAGAUAUCCGGAGGAACACCAGUGGCGAAAGCGACCUUCUGGACCGGUUCUGACGCUCAGACGCGAAAGCUAGGGGAGCAAACGGG